AUCCCUUGAAGGCGGUGAUUGCUUACUAGCGCAUCACCUUCACCUCCCUGUUGGACUUCGGCCGAGCUUAUUGCUCGGCCUUUUUU
rnacentral:ncRNA from 1 species